rnacentral:misc_RNA from 1 species
AUGAAGAACGCAGCGAAAUGCGAUACUUGGUGUGAAUUGCAGAAUCCCGUGAACCAUCGAGUCUUUGAACGCAAGUUGCGCCCGAAGCCAUCAGGUUGAGGGCACGUCUGCCUGGGCGUCACAUAUCGUUGCCCAAUGCCUAUUGCAGUGCAAUAGGAAUUUCUAGGGCGAAUGAUGGCUUCCCGUGAGCGUUGUUGCCUCGCGGUUGGUUGAAAAUCGAGUCCUUGGUAGGGUGUGCCAUGGUAGAUGGUGGUCGAGUUAGAACGAUACCGAUCAUGUGCAUGCUCCCCAAAAUAUGGCCUCUAUGACCCACACGCGUCUUUUGACGCUCAUGACGAGACCUCAGGUCAGGCGGGGCUACCCGCUGAAUUUAAGCAUAUCAAUAAGCGGAGGA